rnacentral:rRNA from 1 species
AGCAGGCGCGAAACCUCUGCAAUGCACGAAAGUGUGACAGGGGGACCCCAAGUGCUCAAGCACAGCUUGGGCUUUUGCCAAGUGUAAAUAGCUUGGAGAAUAAGUGGUGGGCAAGACUGGUGCCAGCCGCCGCGGUAA